UACGUAGGGGGCGAGCGUUGUCCGGAUUUAUUGGGCGUAAAGAGCUCGUAGGCGGUUUGUCACGUCUGCUGUGAAAUCCCGAGGCUCAACCUCGGGCCUGCAGUGGGUACGGGCAGACUGGAGUGCGGUAGGGGAGAAUGGAAUUCCUGGUGUAGCGGUGGAAUGCGCAGAUAUCAGGAGGAACACCAAUUGCGAAGGCAGCUCUCUGGGACGGUACUGACGCUGAGACGCGAAAGCGUGGGGAGCGAACAGG
rnacentral:rRNA from 1 species